UUGUUUGCUGGUGUAGCAUCUUCAAGAUUCACAUGCAAAUGCACGGUGGUGGUGAUUGUAAUCUCUCUCUCAAUACUUUGCCAAAUAUUCUUUUGACAGUGAGAAUCUUGAUGAUGCUGCAUCGGCAAUAGA
rnacentral:pre_miRNA from 1 species